GUCUCUAUAGUCUAAAGGUUAGGACAUCACUCUUUCACGGUGAAAAUAGGGGUUCAAUUCCCCUUAGAGAUA
rnacentral:tRNA from 1 species